rnacentral:lncRNA from 1 species
CUGGCAUAGAGUCAUAAACCAAGCCAAUUAAAUUCUUAGAGGAAAAUAUAAUUGUGUAAACUUCAAAUGUUGAGUUGAACUGUUCAGCAGUGAGCUGUUCUUUUAACUGCCAACAGCGCCUGAGCCCGCCUCUUCCUGUUAUGUCAGCAGCAAAUAGCAGCUCCAGGCUUGGGUGUCUGGGUAAUGGGAGGGACAAGGCUUUUGCUGAGAGUUGAACUAUCCCAAAGGCCAAACUGAACUGAAAGUGACAAGAUAGUUUUUCUAGGGAAAAACUGGUACACAAACACACAGAAAACAGAUGUUCAGUCAUCAGGAUAGAAGAUUUCAGGGAGCAUGUGAAGCCACUCCAGGAUCACCAAGUACUAGGAUGAUGACAACAUAACUGCCUCCAGAUCUUAGUCAUUGGGAAUAGAGCUCCUGGUAUAUGGACAGAUGUGGACAGGGCUGUCUCAAGAACUGUUCACUGCAUUUGGAGUUGUCUUCAGAAUUCACAGUCUAUACCUAUUUAUUGUACCAUGGAAGUCAUAUCUUCCAUUGAAGAUGCUGAUUUUAUAAUAUUAGAGAGAGAGAUCUUGAAAGAUAUUCAACUUUUAAUUUCUUCAGAAUUAUGUUGAUAUAAAA